rnacentral:lncRNA from 1 species
ACCUCCUGCCCAGCUCGGGGGCGCUGCAGCUCCCCAGGGUGGGGCCUGGGGCUGAGCCGGCCUGAAACUUCUCUGUCGGCCCAGCCUGGUGCUGAGCCCGCUUGUCUCGGCUUCCCCCCGCCUCGGGCGUCGGUCCUGGCCUUGUCUCCCAGGCCAAGAGCUGGAGGGGCACUUUGUGUCAUUCGGGGGAUGAAAUAACAAGCCCCCGCUUCCCUCAGACUAAACACUAGUACAGCUGAGUGCCAAUACAAUAUUGCGCGUGUCCAGUUACUUUAUGACUGACAGCAGUGGACUGAAUGAAAGAAAAUGAGACUCUGUCACGUGGCUGCAACCUUACAAUAGCUGGCCAGCAAGAGAAGUGUACUGGAUACCUUGUUGAAGGACCAUCACAAGGAGCCAUCCAUACUGAAA